GGCCUCUCCUCCUCUCUCUCUCUCUCCUGUCUCUUAUAAGGACCUCUGUUGUUGGAUUGAAAGCCGUCCCAGGCCCAAUUCAGGAUGAGCUCAGCUGGAGACCCUUAACCUAACAACAUCUACAAAGAGAGAGAAAGCAAGAUGGUGGAACAGAAGAACAUGGAGUUCAGCUCCUGCCGCAGAUACAUCAAAAAUACAUCUACUAGUGGAACAGUUUCCACAGAGUACCUUACUGGAUGCUGUCAAAAGACAUCAGACACCCGGAAGUGCAAGAAAGAUCUCCUCGUAACCAGGUUUUAUCUUUACAUGCCGCCCUCGAAAAUUUCCACCUUGAAGCCGGUAGCCCCGUAAAGCGAUUCAUAAGGACGUAAACCUCUGACAGCUUCACUCCCCAGGAGCAGCGCAGGGACCUCGGUUGUUGGAUUGAGCUCAGCUGGAGACCCUUAACCUAAUAACAUCUAGAAAGAGAGAGAAAGCAAGAUGGCGGAACAGAAGGACGUGGAGUUCAGCUCCUGCCGCAGAUACAUCAAAAAUACAUCUACUAGUGGAACAGUUCCCACAGAAUACCUUACCGGACGCUGGCAAAAGACAUCAGACACCCGGAAGUGCAAGAAAGAUCUCUUCGUAACCGGGUAGGACAAAAGAAAAGAGGAAUCAGCACAGGCCCUGCACCCCUGGGAGGAAGCUGGAAAAGAGGAAAGUUUCCCACACCCUGGGAAGCCCCAUCGCUGGGAGGGACAUCAGCCGGGACAGAGGGGGAGCUUCCGAGGCUCAGAGGAGAGCGCAGCGGCAGGUGGGGGCAGCCAGAACGGAGAGAGGCUGGCACGGGGGUUCCGAGGCGCCUCGCUGCACCCC